UACGGGGGGGGCAAGCGUUGUUCGGAAUUACUGGGCGUAAAGGGCUCGUAGGCGGCCAACUAAGUCGGAUGUGAAAUCCCCAGGCUCAACUUGGGAACUGCAUCCGAUACUGGAUGGCUUGAAUUCGGGAGAGGGAUGCAGAAUUCCAGGUGUAGCGGUGAAAUGCGUAGAUAUCUGGAGGAAUACCGGUGGCGAAGGCGGCAUCCUGGACCGACAUUGACGCUGAGGAGCGAAAGCUAGGGGAGCAACGGG
rnacentral:rRNA from 1 species